rnacentral:miRNA from 1 species
AUUGGGUUGGCAAAAAAGUUCAUUCAGGUUUUUUUAAUAAUAUCUUAUGGAAAAACCCGAAUGAACUUUUUGGUCAACCCGA